rnacentral:lncRNA from 1 species
AAAUAAACGACGAUAUUUUAUCGCGUUGAAAAAUAAACUUUCAUUCUUGCGCUGUUAAUUGACAUCUUACGUUUUAGUUUAUACUACUGUCUAAAAUAUUUUCAAGUAAAUCAGAGAGGCGUGUAUGUCGUCAAAUGCUGUUAUUAGACCUAGACAUAGGUUGAAAGUGUUAAGUUCAAUUUGUAUUGUUUAGAAAGCCAACAUCUUUCUACUGUAUUCGGACACAUUUUUCAAACUGACUUCGAGAUAGUGUUGGCAAAACAAGAAACAAAUACACACAGG